GACGAACGCUGGCGGCAUGCCUAACACAUGCAAGUCGAACGGAGAUUAUUUCGGUAAUCUUAGUGGCGAACGGGUGAGUAACGCGUGGGCAACCUGCCCUCUAGAUGGGGACAACAUCCCGAAAGGGGUGCUAAUACCGAAUGUGACAGCAAUCUCGCAUGAGGAUGCUGUGAAAGAUGGCCUCUAUUUAUAAGCUAUCGCUAGAGGAUGGGCCUGCGUCUGAUUAGCUAGUUGGUGGGGUAACGGCCUACCAAGGCGAUGAUCAGUAGCCGGUCUGAGAGGAUGAACGGCCACAUUGGGACUGAGACACGGCCCAGACUCCUACGGGAGGCAGCAGUGGGGAAUCUUCCGCAAUGGGCGAAAGCCUGACGGAGCAAUGCCGCGUGAGGGAUGAAGGAAUUCGUUCCGUAAAGCUCUUCUGUUUAUGACGAAUGUGCAGAUUGUGAACAAUGAUCUGUAAUGACGGUAGUAAACGAAUAAGCCACGGCUAACUACGUG
rnacentral:rRNA from 1 species